rnacentral:snoRNA from 13 species
UGCAAGUGCACUCUGUGUCACAUUGAUUUUCAAUAACAACCACAUGUGAUGACAAUUUGUUAACUUGCUAAACUAAAUCUAAAGCUGCGACUUAUCCAUGUGAUCGUGUCCUUUCAAAAUUAUCACAUUGAAUACGCGCUUUACACUCCUUAU